AUUAGUUGCUGAAUAUAUGCUUAUUAUUAAAGUGUGACUCGAUAAUAUUGUUGGCUGAACCAUUGCUACAAACCAUAUUGCUUUUAAAUCGAGUGAUUGUAGCCAUUUGUUGGCAUUGUAAGAAAGAUACUGCAUCUGUCUUAUUUUGUAUUAUUAAUUUUGUAUCACAAUGAAUGUUUGUGAUGAAUGUUUAAAUGACAAUGUGAACUCCAGCUGUAUUCGACAGGCUGAAUAGGCUAGCCACAUGUACGCAGUGCGUAAAUAUAUUUUUACAUAUUGUUAUUCUUGUGUUAGUUUGUGCAGUUAUGUACAAUAAUGUGUGGCUGUUUGCAUGCGUGCCAAACAAAGCUGUUAAAUUAAAAUAAAAAAUUAAAUUAUAAAAUAGUUCCGAGUUCCAAUUUACUGAUGUGUGCUAUCACUAUAUUUCUUUAAUCUUAUUGGAUAAAGGUGUGUGCACACGUCAUCAUUCCUCG